rnacentral:tRNA from 1 species
GGAAGGUUGCCAGAGCGGUAAUGGAACGGCUUGCUAAGCCGCGGUCGGGGGCGACCCCGCGCAGGUUCGAUCCCUGCACCUUCCG